rnacentral:lncRNA from 1 species
ACAGUUUUUCUCUGUUAGGUGUCAUGCUACUUUGGUCUGGUCUGGUUUUCAUUUUUAAAAGAAUGGGUCUUAUCUAGUGCUAGCCUUUGAAAACAAGACCAGGAGCUAGAGAAAGGGUGUGGAAAUCUAUUUGUAGCCUUCUAAGAGCAUAACCCUAAACUUCCAGGAAGGGUAGCCUUCUGCCUGCCCAUGCUGUUGAAAAAUCCAACAGAGCACCAUAGCCUUUCUCACUCAUGAGACAAGCCAGCUCCUCCUGCUGAGGGGUAUUUGCAUCUCCAUGUAAAUGUGAGAGCCAGUUCAUCAGUGUCAUCAAAGCCUAGACUUUAAUCAGAUGAACACGGAUUCAAUUGAUCAGGUCUUCUGCCUGUCAUGUUUUAAGUUUUUGGAGUACCGGGAGCCUGAGCCACAUCUUCCAUGACUCCGAGUAUAUCCAGACCUACAUUCAUCUGCAUAAAAUUAGCUGUCAGUUACACAAGGAGGUCGAAACAAGAGAAGGAAUAGCUGGACAAAGGCAAGGGGCCGGUCACAUGUCAAAGCCAAAGGUAAUGAAUGGAAACUUCAAAGCCUCAGGAUGACAAGGCCAGUCUCCCGCAUCACCAUAGUCACUGUGUCCCACAAGCAGAGAUGGCUCCAAGACCAUCAGAACUUGAACAUU